UUCUUUCUUUCAUAAACCUCUUAUGAUCAAGAAUCAAGAUUAUUAUUUUUUAGACUUGUUAUGAAGUUUCAGUUUCAUGGAGUUUGGAUUUUGAUUCGGCGGGCUAGGGUUAGGGUUUUUAUUUUCCCUUGUCUCUCUGUUUGAUUCUUGGUCAAGCAAUUUAACUUCUCUGUUUGAUGUUUCAGACAAUACACCCCUCUUUGAAAAGUCUUUAAAUUAGGUACAAGCCUGGCCCAUAGAUUCGUUUGUAUGUAUAUAUAUUUCUCUCCAGAAUCAAAUAUUCUGCCAAGUUCAAAACUUUAACCCAACUCUCCUUGUAUUUGAGCUUUUUGAACCCAAACACCCAAUCCUUAUAUUCAAAACCAAUGCAAUCAGCCCAUCUUUCUGGUUAGAAGAUCGUCCAGUAUCAAUUUUUAUACUUUCCCAGAUUUUUGUUACUGAAUAAGGAGUUAAGCAAUCAAGGACCCGGAGAUUGAUAUUGCUUCGCUCAACUACGCAGGUUGUCUGGUUCAAAGGGAUUGCUUUCUGUUGAUGUUCAAGUAACACUUUUGGCCGCUCGGUUUGUGAGUCCACACAAUGGACAAUAUAGUUGAUUCUUUACAGAAUGCAUACCAAGUGUUUGUUGCUGCAGCUGCUAAUGUUCUUGAAGCUAAGGAAAGUUGUAGCGCCCAGAAAACAGUAGCCACUGAUGCAGCUCUUGAGAAUUUCAAACAGAAGUGGGAAUUGUUCAGAGUGGCUUGUGAUCAAGCUGAGGAGUUUGUGGAGUCUGUCAAGCAAAGGAUAGGAUCAGAGUGCCUUGUGGAUGAGGCCACAGGCUCAGUGGUUGGAAAGUCUGCCAGUGGCCCUGCUGCCACUACUGGUCUUCCACCAAUUAGUGCUGUUCGUUUGGAACAGAUGAGCAAAGCUGUUAGGUGGCUUGUCAUUGAACUUCAACAUGGUUCUGGUUCUUCUGCUAAUGCAGCCGCUCAUUCCCACCCACCAGGAGCUCCAUUUGAUGCUAGAUUUUCUGAGGAUCCAGCUCAAUAGCUCUGCAUUUGUAGAGUUUUUAUUUACAAAAUGGUGAUUAGAUGUAGUGAUUCAACUGUUGUAUCUUCGAGGAGAGUCAUUUGUUCAUGUAACUUGUAGAAUUUUACUAGCUAGCCAAAGGGAAGAAAGGUUAUGAUUCUGGCUCUACUUUACCAUGGAGUUCACAUUUCCAUCGAGCUUGGUAGGUAUCUUCAAUGGUGUAGCCUCAUGUUAAAUGGUCUUACAAGAUCAGGUGAAGAUGUAUAUCCAUGUAGUUCAUCAAGCUUUGGAAAUUGCUUAAUCAUCUAGCAGACAGCUCUCGGAGUUGCUAAAGAAAAACAAGAAGGUAGAACUUGUUCAACAAAUACUAUUGCUGCCAGGGGUGCACACGGGUCGGGUUUCGGGUGCUUCAGGUUCGAGUUUUGCGGGUCCGGUCCGUAAUUUUCGGUAUUUGGGUUGAUUUCGGGUUUCGGGUUGGAUUGGUCCAAAAAUGUGCUUUGGGCCGAAAAUGGGCUUUGUAAAAAAAAUUCAAAAAUACUAUUUUUUUUAUAAUUUUUUAUUUUAUUUUUUACUUUUCACAUGUUUUUUUUUUACUUUGUUGUUUGUUUGGAAAUGUUGAUUUUUUACAAAUUGGGUCUUGUUAAUUUUUUUUUUAAAACAUUAAUUUUUUCGAUUUUUUUUUUUAAUUAUGUUCGGUUCAUGUGUAACCCGAACCCGUGUACCCUUAAUUUCAAAAUUGAACCCGAUCCGAACCAGGUCGGGUUCGGAUCGGAUUUCACCCGAAUUUGACGAGUUUUGCAAAAAUUUGGGUUGGUCGGGUCGGGUUUGGUCAGAUUUUCGGGUUUUUCGGGUCAAAUGUUCACCCCUAAUUGCUGCUGCUGAGUUGUGUUCAUCGUCGAAUACAGGUAAGGUUUCUGGUCUUUUGGAUGCUAAGGUUGUAUUGUAUGAGACUAUCCCCCCAUUAGUUUGCUGCCAUGAGGUAAAGCUUUUUCAUCCAAAGACCAUUAACACCAUCAUCCAUACUUGAAUGAAUGGAUCUUGGAACCAUUGCUCGAGCAGGACACUGGGACAGAAGAGCAAAGCAACAUAGUCAUUCCGAAGUGUAAGUUAAAUCUCAUCACUUCUUGUAACAAGAAUAUUAUAUCAAAGAACUGAAAGAAGUCCAGCCGCACAAAUGAACAACUUCUUUGCAGAAAACUUCAACUCAAAGACAACAAAAAACCAUGCUGCAAUUUCAUGUGAACUCCAAUCUCCAAUAUCCCAUGGAUGUACUGAAAUGAUUCAUAGAAUUGUGACUUGAGAGUUUUUAUCACAUAGCCUUGUUCUUUUGAACAUUGCCUUUUCUAAGCUACUCCUCUUAGGUUUGUUUAUACAUUAGCUUUCUUAAUGGAAGCAAGCAUCUUAUGAUGUUUACAUACACAUGCAUUCACAUAUACAUGGCUUGCUUCUCAAUGCAAAUGUACUUUUGAGAA